rnacentral:sRNA from 1 species
UAAGUCAUGAAAUUCCAAAUUUUGGAAAGC